rnacentral:rRNA from 1 species
UGGGGAAUUUUGCGCAAUGGGGGAAACCCUGACGCAGCAACGCCACGUGAGUGAGGAAGGUCUUCGGGUCGUAAAGCUCUGUCAGGCGGGAAGAAAUGCAUGGAGGUGAACAGCCGCCAUGCUUGACGGUACCGCCAGAGGAAGCACCGGCUAACUCCGUGCCAGCAGCCGCGGUAAUACGGGGGGUGCAAGCGUUGUUCGGAAUCAUUGGGCGUAAAGAGCGUGUAGGCGGCUUGGUAAGUCAGAUGUGAAAGCCCUGGGCUCAACCCGGGAAGUGCAUUUGAAACUGCCAGGCUCGAGUAGGGGAGAGGGAAGUGGAAUUCCUGGUGUAGAGGUGAAAUUCGUAGAUAUCAGGAGGAACACCGGUGGCGAAGGCGACUUCCUGGCCCUAUACUGACGCUGAGACGCGAGAGCGUGGGUAGCAAACAG